rnacentral:rRNA from 1 species
ACGUAGGGGGCGAGCGUUAUCCGGAUUUACUGGGUGUAAAGGGUGCGUAGGCGGCUUGGUAAGUCAGAAGUGAAAUUUAGGGGCUCAACCCCUAAGCUGCUUCUGAAACUGCUGAGCUAGAGUGUGGGAGAGGUAAGUGGAAUUCCGAGUGUAGCGGUGAAAUGCGUAGAGAUUCGGAGGAACACCAGUAGCGAAGGCGGCUUUCUGGACCAUAACUGACGCUGAGGCACGAAAGCGUGGGGAGCAAACAGGA